rnacentral:rRNA from 1 species
GCAGUGGGGAAUUUUGGACAAUGGGCGAAAGCCUGAUCCAGCAAUGCCGCGUGCAGGAUGAAGGCCUUCGGGUUGUAAACUGCUUUUGUACGGAACGAAACGGUUCUUUCUAAUAAAGAGGGCUAAUGACGGUACCGUAAGAAUAAGCACCGGCUAACUACGUGCCAGCAGCCGCGGUAAUACGUAGGGUGCAAGCGUUAAUCGGAAUUACUGGGCGUAAAGCGUGCGCAGGCGGUUAUGUAAGACAGUUGUGAAAUCCCCGGGCUCAACCUGGGAAUUGCAUCUGUGACUGCAUAGCUAGAGUACGGUAGAGGGGGAUGGAAUUCCGCGUGUAGCAGUGAAAUGCGUAGAUAUGCGGAGGAACACCGAUGGCGAAGGCAAUCCCCUGGACCUGUACUGACGCUCAUGCACGAAAGCGUGGGGAGCAAACAGGAUUAGA